rnacentral:rRNA from 1 species
GUGCCAGCAGCCGCGGUAAUACGGAGGGAGCUAGCGUUGUUCGGAAUUACUGGGCGUAAAGCGCACGUAGGCGGCUACUCAAGUCAGAGGUGAAAGCCCGGGGCUCAACCCCGGAACUGCCUUUGAAACUAGGUAGCUAGAAUCUUGGAGAGGUCAGUGGAAUUCCGAGUGUAGAGGUGAAAUUCGUAGAUAUUCGGAAGAACACCAGUGGCGAAGGCGACUGACUGGACAAGUAUUGACGCUGAGGUGCGAAAGCGUGGGGAGCAAACAGGAUUAGAUACCCCCGUAGUCC